ACAGUCAGUGUUCUUAACCACUGAGCCUGAAUUUGGUAUUCCUAAGAGACUUUUCUUUUUCUUCAGUAAGGGGAGUUUAAAUACCAAGGUUGGAACAAUACAUGGGUAGAUUUUACUUUUAAUUGUGUAAAAAUUGUUUAGAGAGACCAGUUCCACUCACCUGCCUAUCAGUCAUCGCUCACAAUGUGUUGCCUAGCACCAUGUGGAAUCUAAUCCAGGAUUCCAGGUAGGUCUUCCAGAACCUGCCUGCCUAUCAAUCCUUCUACCUACCACACCACCUGACAUUGUGUCGAGUCAAAUCCCUGGCAUCAUGUGGAGUCUGACCCAGGAUUGUAGCCAUGUCUCACAGGCCCAUCCUUCCCACCCAUUAGGACCCUACCCACCUGGCUACUAGGUAUCACCUGGAGUCUGACCUAAAACUCCAGGAAAAAGGAAAAGGGAAAUGUCAGUGUGUUACAAAAUACAAGAAAGGAAGACAGUAUCCGAAUGGACACAAUUAAGCAUGAUGUAAACACCAAUGAUGAGGUCACCAAAGCCUCUUGAUUUUCAGAAGAGAGGCAGGAUCAGGAAGAUGAAAAACCCACCCACUUUUCUUCCUCUCCAUGAACUCAAGAUCUCUCACAAAGAUUUGAUUUCUGGCAGAAAUGUGGAAUCACAUUUGUCUUGGUCUUUCUGAUUAAACAGUCGUCUUGUCACUUAACAUAAACUUUUCAUACUCUUGUAGCAAAGUUCUUAAGUGACAUUAAUAUCAUUCCGCUUUCUCGCUUCAAUAUCCCAUUUUCUACAUGGAAGACCACUGAGUAAGGUUGAAAUUCAGAUCCUUGGAAGGUGAUACUUACUUUAAAAUAUUGACAAAGCAAUUUCAAGUGCCCAGCAAUGCACGGACUGUUCUUAUGGCAUCAGUAUCUCUUCAAGGAUCACUUUUGAUGUAAUAAAUGUAAACCACCACGGUUUUUAUGACAGUGCCAGGUAAUUUAAGCAAGUUAAUGUGAUCUUUCAAAUUACGCAGUUUCCUCUGUAGUGGGCUGAUUUCUGCAGGGUUUUAGGACCUUUGCCCUAGAGUAAUUUUAGGUAUUUAUGAACAAGCUCUUCUCCAUUCUGGGAAAUCCAAUCUAUACAACGGCUUAAAAUUCUACCUUACAAAGAUUUGAACUAGGGCAGGCCUAGGGGUAUAGGCCUAUAAUCCUACAUGUUGGGAAGGCUGAGACAGGAGGAUUGCAAGUUUAAGGCCUACAAGAGCUACAGAGUGAGAUGAAGAUUGACCUCAGCAACUUACAAAGAUUCUACUUGAAGACAAAAAGUAAAAAGUAGGCUAGCAGAUACCUCGGUAUUAUGGCAUUUUUUUUUCAGUAAAUAUGAAGCUUGGAGUUUAGCCCUUAACACUGUGCACACGUGCAUACACACACACACACACACACACACACACACACACACACACACACACACUAACACUAUUCUCUUGGUAGAGUGACUGAUCAUUUAGUAGUUGUAGCAAAUCAAUCACUUGUGAAAACCCCCUCAUUUAUAUCUACUUAAGGCUUACAUAGCAUAGUGAUGAGUAUUUUAAAUAAGAAGUAAAUAUUUGCUAACUUGGAGAAGCUCAAAAAUGUCGGUGUACUUAGCAGCACAAAGCCCUGAAGCAUCCCCUUGCUGGACCUGUCAUGUCAGCCCUCAGCAUCCAAUGCUACUCUUUCACUGCCUUUAGUGGCUACUGAAGGUUUGAUCCUUCGUGACUCUUCCUUGUAGUUAAAAAUCUGAUUCCUUUCACAUGGUUUUUGAUAUUGAAUAAAACAGGAUUGUUGUGGGUUUUGUUCUGUUUUUGCAGUAGUUAUGUAAGCUGCUUCCUAAAAUAUGUUUAUAAAUGGAUCUCAUCUCGUGUCCGUUCUCUUA
rnacentral:sRNA from 1 species